AAAAACGUAAGAAAUUAGAUGCAAAAAGCAAAAUGUAUGUAUUUGUGGGAUAUUGCGAUGGAUCAAAAGGAUAUAGACUGAUUGACCCUCAAAACCCGUCUAAAUGUAUUAAGUCUCGAGAUGUACAGUUCUUUGAAGAGAAAAUGUUUAAAGAUAUAAAACUGAAUCAGCAAAAUCCUACUACUGAUGGUCAGUUACAUUUACUUAGUGAUGGCAUGGAUAAUACUACUAGAAAUGCAGAACCUUUACCUGCAGAUCCUUUGCCAGCUGAUCUUAUUGAGGAAGUACCUGAAGUAUCUGAAAAUGAAUCGAGCACUUCUAGUUCCAGUUUUGUGGAUGAUCCUAACGAUGUCACUUGGAAUCCUGAUAUGACUACGGAUCAAGGCUCCAGUGAGUAUGAAGAAAUGACAGACUCCGCUAAUGCUGUGAUUGCAAUGACAGCUGCUUGUCAAGGUGCUGAACCAAAGACAAUUCAUGAAGCGCUGUCAGGACCUGAAAAAGAACAUUGGAAGGAAGCAAUUGCGGAUGAGUACAAGUCAUUUGAGAAGAACAGAGCCUGGACAUUGACAACAUUGCCUGCUGGAAAGAAAGCUGUAAAAUGCAAAUGGAUUUUCAAAAAGAAACUUGGAUUGGAAGAUUUGCAACAGUCAAAUCAACCAUAGUAGAAGUAAACAUAUAGACAUUCGACAUCAUUAUGUGCGGCAAGUCGUAAGUGAUAAAAUUAUUAA